AAUGGGCGCAAGCCUGAUGCAGCGACGCCGCGUGGGGGAUGACGGCCUUCGGGUUGUAAACCUCUUUCACCAUCGACGAAGGUUCGGGUUUUCUCGGAUUGACGGUAGGUGGAGAAGAAGCACCGGCCAACUACGUGCCAGCAGCCGCGGUAAUACGUAGGGUGCGAGCGUUGUCCGGAAUUACUGGGCGUAAAGAGCUCGUAGGUGGUUUGUCGCGUUGUUCGUGAAAUCUCACGGCUUAACUGUGAGCGUGCGGGCGAUACGGGCAGACUG
rnacentral:rRNA from 1 species